UGUAAUUCCGUUUGGUGGAUACUAAUACCAUGAAUAAGUAUCUACUGGCGGGAUUUCACU
rnacentral:pre_miRNA from 1 species